AAGACUGACCACCGAUCACCACAAAACAAACCAAAAUCAAGAAAGAGAGAGAGAAAAGAACAAAAGUCCAAGAAAACGAUCAAAAACCAAGCCCAAAAAGAAUAGAACAAAAAAAAAAAAGAACAAAAAAAAAUUAUUAAUCACAAGAGAAAUUCUCAAUCAAAAGAAAGAGAAAAAAGAACAUAAAACCACAACUUAGAAGAUGAAUUUUGAAGAAAUUCACAAACUAGAUGCAACCAUACUUACGAAUUUAUAAUCUAACAACUAAAUUAAACACUUUAAUUGCGAGAACAAUUAAAAAAACGUUAAUCACAAACGAAUGAGGAAAUAAAAACAUUGGAACAUUUUUCCAACUAACAAACUGAGUUUUCCCUCCAAUACCAGAGGGCAGCGCAUUCGUCGUUCAGAAAUCAAAUUACAAGAUUAAAAACUAAUUCUAAUUGAUUAAAUUAAAUUGUUCUUUUAAUUGUGUUAAGUAGUUUAACUAUUUAUGGAUAAAUUUGUGUUCCAAGUGUCUACUGAUUACAAUUACAUCUGUAAAGGUUGUAUUUAUGUUUCUACCUCGUUUGUGAGCCGCUUUAACGGUUAACCCCUUUAGAUGAAUAUGAAAAUUUAUCUUCAUUUGAAUGUUUUCAUUUUCUUGAAUAGAAUUUAUGUUUUUCUAUUAAAUUGUGAUUCGUGAUUUACAAUUAUUUUUAAUAUUUAAAUAAUGUUAAUAAUCAGUUAACUAUAUUCUUCUUCUGAUAACUCUGGACGAGAGAAAUUUUUGGCAACAAUUUUGGUCCGAGAAGCAGCAGCAAGAAACCAUCCUUGUGAUCCAGGCGUUUGAAUGGCUCCUAUUACAUGAUUGGAAUGGAAAAGAAAAGAAAUUGAAAAAAAAGGAAAAAUCAGAAUUUGAUCAAUUUGGAUUAUUCUUUAAUCCUCCGGCAUUGUGAUUAGAUUAUCCUGUUUUUUAUAUUCUUUCUUUAAAUUAUCACUCCGCUAAUGUGAACACAUCAUGAUCCAUGUUAAUUUGGUGACAUAAUCACUUUUGUGAUCAAUGAAAGUGGUCACAUUAAUAUUUUGAUUGUUCUCAAAAUUUAAUUUCUCAGGACAUUUAUCACAAUAGCUUUUAGAUAAUCUACUCAAUAUCUAAUUGAUAAUUACAAGAAGAAAAAAACUCAUUCCUACUCUUAUUGUUAUUCCCAAUUAAUACAAUCACAAUUAUCUGUUGGAAAAAAAUAGCAAAUUCUUAAUUGUAAAUAAUUCUCACCGUAAUCAUACUAAUCAUUGUGCUUAAUCAUCUCACUAAUCAAUUGUGUCUAUCGCAUGUGAAGCAGGAAAAUCAAAUCAAAUGUCAACCAACACAUAAAUCAUUAUAUGAUUUACAUUGGAUUAUUUGUCUUAUUGUGAUUAACCAACAACAAUCAAACCAUUCAACCCUAAUAACACAAUUAACUGUUGAACAAAA